GACAGAGGCCUCAAGCGUUAGGCGGAAUCACUGGGCUUAAAGCGUGUGUAGGCGGAUCGUUAAGUGCCUUGUGAAAUCCCACGGCUUAACUGUGGAACGGCUGGGCAUACUGGCGGUCUUGAGCCAUCUAGGGCGACUGGAACAAACGGUGGAGCGGUGAAGUGCGUAGAUAUCGUUUGGAACGCCAAUGGUGAAAACAGGUCGCUGGGAUGAGCUGACGCUGGAGAACACGAAAGCCAGGGA
rnacentral:rRNA from 1 species